rnacentral:rRNA from 1 species
GAAAUAACAAUGCAGGGCCCUUGUGGUCUUGCAAUUGGAAUGAGUUAAAUUUAAAACCGAACACGAGAAACAAUUGGAGGGCAAGUCUGGUGCCAGCAGCCGCGGUAAUUCCAGCUCCAAUAGCGUAUAUUAAAGUUGUUGCAGUUAAAAAGCUCGUAGUUGGACUUUAGGGGCUCGCGGCGGGGUCUGCCUAUCGGCAGCACUGCGUCACGGCCCCUCACCUUCGGGGCGGCUGUGCUGAAAGGCGCAGCACAAUCCGAGUGCUACUUUGAAGAAAUUAGAGUGUUCAAGGCAGGCCUGACGGCCUGAAUAUAUCAGCAUGGAAUAGCAAAAUAGGACUUUGGUUCUACUUUUGUUGGUUUGGAAACCAAAGUAAUGAUUAAUAGGGGCAGUUGGGGGCAUUAGUAUUCAGUAGUCAGAGGUGAAAUUCUUGGAUUUACUGAAGACUAACUAGUGCGAAAGCAUUUGCCAAGGAUGUUUUCAUUAAUCAAGAACGAAAGUUAGGGGAUCGAAGACGAUUAGAUACCGUCGUAGUCUUAACCAUAAACUAUGCCGACUAGGGAUCGGUGGGCGUCGUUCGCGACUCCAUCGGCACCUUACGAGAAAUCAAAGUUUUUGGGUUCUGGGGGGAGUAUGGUCGCAAGGCUGAAACUUAAAGGAAUUGACGGAAGGGCACCACCAGGAGUGGAGCCUGCGGCUUAAUUUGACUCAACACGGGAAAACUCACCAGGUCCGGAAAUGGUAAGGAUUGACAGAUUGAGAGCUCUUUCUUGAUUCUAUUGUUGGUGGUGCAUGGCCGUUCUUAGUUGGUGGAGUGAUUUGUCUGGUUAAUUCCGUUAACGAACGAGACCUUAACCUGCUAAAUAGCCGGCCGAGCCUUGGCUUGCGUCGGCUUCUUAGAGGGACUGAUCACGACUAGUGGUCGGAAGUUUGAGGCAAUAACAGGUCUGUGAUGCCCUUAGAUGUUCUGGGCUGCACGCGCGCUACACUGACAAAGCCAGCGAGUGUUCACCUUGGCCGGAAGGUCCGGGUAAUCUUGUGAAACUUUGUCGUGCUGGGGAUAGACCAUUGCAAUUAUUGGUCUUCAACGAGGAAUUCCUAGUAAGCGCAAGUCAUCAGCUUGCGUUGAUUACGUCCCUGCCCUUUGUACACACCGCCCGUCGCUACUACCGAUUGAAUGGCUUAGUGAGGC